UGGAGGUUGUGCAACAGUUAGCGACAGUUAUGUAGAUAAAACACUAGUUACAUUUUAAAGUGAGUGCAAUUAUUAGUUAAAAAAUAUUCUAAGUUCGCUUGCUGUCCCCAUCAAAUGCACAUAAGACACAGAAGCUACCAAACUCUAGACCAACAACAAUCGAUUUAAAAACCGACGAAAUAAAUCAAUAUGUCAAAAAUUAUUUUGCUGUUAUCAAUAAUUAUGUUAUUGAUUGGGCUUGUGGUGAAUCAAUAUCAAUAUGAAGACGGAUGUACGGGUUAUUUAUGUGAUGAUAACGAGGAUUGCUGUGAAAAUUACGAGUGCUCUGGUAGCGUGGAAAAACAGUGUUGGCGAAAAUAAAUAAUUUGUAAAAUCUAAAAAUCCGAGGAUUCGAAAAUUUAUUCUUUACAUCUAUUAAAUUUUUCCUCAUAGAAAAAUAUUGUAAGACACAUAAAUAUAUAAAUAAAUAUCAUUGCGCAAAU